rnacentral:lncRNA from 10 species
UCCCUCACCCUCGGCCCCCAGCAUGCUGACAAUAUCUACAUCUGCACCGUGAGCAACCCUAUCAGCAACAAUUCCCAGACCUUCAGCCCGUGGCCCGGAUGCAGGACAGACCCCUCAGAAACAAAACCAUGGGCAGUGUAUGCUGGGCUGUUAGGGGGUGUCAUCAUGAUUCUCAUCAUGGUGGUAAUACUACAGUUGAGAAGAAGAGGUAAAACGAACCAUUACCAGACAACAGUGGAAAAAAAAAGCCUUACGAUCUAUGCCCAAGUCCAGAAACCAGGUGCUGGGGUGCAGUGGCGUGAUCUUGUCUUACUGCAACCUCCGCCUCCUGGGUUCAAGCCAUUCUCCUGUCUCGGCCUCCCAAGCAGCUGGGAUUACAGCCUCUUCAGAAGAAA